rnacentral:rRNA from 1 species
CGGAGGGUGCAAGCGUUGUCCGGAUUUAUUGGGUUUAAAGGGUGCGUAGGCGGCUUUUUAAGUCAGCGGUGAAAGACAACAGCUUAACUGUUGCAGUGCCAUUGAUACUGAAGAGCUUGAGUACAGAUGAGGUAGGCGGAAUUUAUGGUGUAGCGGUGAAAUGCAUAGAUACCAUAAAGAACACCUAUUGCGAAGGCAGCUUACUAAGCUGUAACUGACGCUGAGGCACGAAAGUGUGGGGAUCAAACAGGAUUAGAUACCCUGGUAGUCCACACUGUAAACGAUGAUCACUCGAUGUGUGCGAUAGACAGUACGCGUCCAAGCGAAAGCGUUAAGUGAUCCACCUGGGGAGUACGCUCGCAAGAGUG